rnacentral:rRNA from 1 species
UACGUAGGUGGCAAGCGUUGUCCGGAUUUACUGGGCGUAAAGCGCGCGCAGGCGGUUUUUCAAGUCAGUGGUGAAAGCCCGGAGCUCAACUCCGGAACUGCCAUUGAAACUGUGAAACUUGAGGAUGAGAGAGGUGAGUGGAAUUCCCAGUGUAGAGGUGAAAUUCGUAGAUAUUGGGAAGAACACCGGUGGCGAAGGCGGCUCACUGGCUCAUUUCUGACGCUCGGGCGCGACAGCGUGGGGAUCAAACAGG